rnacentral:rRNA from 1 species
GACGAACGCUGGCGACGUGCUCAACACAUGCAAGUCGAACGGAAAGGCCCUGCUUGCAGGGUACUCGAGUGGCGAACGGGUGAGUAACACGUGGGUGAUCUGCCCUGCACUUCGGGAUAAGCCUGGGCAACUGGGUCUAAUACCGGAUAGGAGCCAUUUUUAGUGUGAUGGUUGGAAAGUUUUUUCGGUGUAGGAUGAGCUCGCGGCCUAUCAGCUUGUUGGUGGGGUAAUGGCCUACCAAGGCGGCGACGGGUAGCCGGCCUGAGAGGGUGGACGGGCACAUUGGGACUGAGAGACGGCGCAGACUCCUACGGGAGGCAGCAGUGGGGAAUAUUGCACAAUGAGGGCAAGCCUGAUGCAGCGGCGCCGCGUGGGGGAUGACGGGCUUCGGGUUGUAAACACCUUUCGCUAGGGACGAAGCUAUUUGUGACGGUACCUAGAGAAGAAGCACCGGCUAACUACGUG